GGAGAACGUCCCUAAUCUGGGGAAGGAAACAGGCAUUCAAGUCCAAGAGGCACAGAGAACUCCCCUCAAAAUCAACAAGAACAGGUCCACAUCAUGACAUAUCAUACAGAAACUUGCAAAAUACAAAGAUAAAGACAGAACUCUGAAGGCAGCUAGGGACAAAAGGUCCCUAUAAGUGUAGACACAUAAGGUUUGUAGCAGACCAGUCCACUGAAACUUGGCAGGCCAGAAGGGAGUCGCAGGAAAUACUCAAUGUGAUGAAUAGGGAAAAUAUGCAGCCAAGAAUGCUUUAUACAGCAAGGCUGUUGUUCAGAAUAGAAGGACAGAAAAAGAGUUUCCCAAACGAA